rnacentral:rRNA from 1 species
UAACGGAAUGACAGAUGGUGCAUGGUUGUCGUCAGCUCGUGUCGUGAGAUGUUCGGUUAAGUCCUGCAACGAGCGCAACCCUUGUCCUUAGUUAGAUGAUCUAAGGAGACUGCCCGAGUAAUUGGGAGGAAGGUGGGGACGACGUCAAAUCAUCAUGCCUCUUACGAGCGGGGCAACACACGUGCUACAAUGGACGGUACAAAGAGAAGCAAGACAGCGAUGUGGAGCAAAUCUCAAAAAACCGUUCUCAGUUCGGAUUGUAGUCUGCAACUCGACUACAUGAAGUCGGAAUCGCUAGUAAUCGUAGAUCAGCUACGCUACGGUGAAUACGUUCUCGGGUCUUGUACACACCGCCCGUCACACCAUGGGAGCUGGUAAUGCCCG